AACUCAGACUUAACCCAGAAGGAACCAUUAAAUGCCGCAAUUUUUGCAGAUCACAGAGCGCUGACUUUCAUAGAGUUGCCCUUUGUGGAGGACCCAUAAACGUUUGUUUGAUUACUUAUUUUGUCCGCAUGAGAUUUGAUUGUUGAUUUGAAGAUAUCCAGGCAUGGAAAGUCCUCCGCUUCUCUUCGUAGCUUAUUUCAGUGGCUAAUCACUCUCACUUGCUCCUCAAUUAAAUCCUCCUGAUUCUGGCUUCCAGCCAUCCAUUCCCACUAUGCAUUUCUCAUUAAGUAAGACAGCUAAGAGCAAGUCAGGGUCAGUUACUGGCAAACUACGUCCUCUCUGCAAGAAUGUAUGUCAGCAUUUUUUUAUUAUGAACUCUUUGUACAUUUAUUUAAAUGAAUUCAAAAUAAAACAAAACAAAAACCGACCGACACCACCACCACUACCAAAAACACAGUGAAUUUAAGUGGUAGCAUUUCAUUUCAAAAGGCAUCAAGAGCUACGUCAGCAUAUGGUUUUAAUAUUUCUCCAGGCAGGCAUUAUCAAGAACUAGCAAAAUACAAAAAGAUUUUUUCCUCUGCUUUGUAUAUCAAACAUCUGCAUUCAAGUGUCUUCAUAUGAAGUUAGAGAAAUCUGCUGACUAAGGAGGAGGCCAGAACAGCAUGGGAAAUUCAAAAGCCAUUAUCAGCCGACCACGUGAAGGGAAUGACUGAAGGGAAUGAAAUGGGACUCAGAGCUCCACCUGUCUCUAGCAAAACUCCUAGGGAAAAAAACCUCAAAGUCCUAACUACGGCAUUCAGCAGCUCUAUUUUCUUCUCUGUAGUUGUUUCUUCUUGUCAACUCUACCCUAAAAUCAAGAUGGACAGAAAAAUGGAGGCCUCGGAGACUGGAAGAAACAGGAAUUACUCAAAAAUGCAGGGGAAAAAAAACAAACCAAACAAAUAAUAAUAAUAAUAAAAAAAAAACAGCAGAGGGAAGGAAAAGAAAUCUGGGCUGGCCUCCAUUGAAAUCAGUGGUAGUUUUGAUCCCAAUGAUAAUGUGCGAUUCACUACAUUGAAUUAUUUCUUCUACCCAUUCCUCUUAGAGCCAAUACCUGUCAAUGUCACUCAGCAUUUCAGCGUCUCUGCACUGGGGUAGGUCCAUCUGCAGGCUGGGUUUGAAGGUACAUCAGGACAAAAUGGAAACCUGAGGUGAGCUCAAGAAUGAUUUGUGAAUCCACCAAACCCUAAAGUCCACAGAGAUGCAAAAUUAGGCCAACAGCCCUACGGCAAGGGCAGAAAGAGAACAAGUACUCCAAAAAGAAAAGAAAAAGAAAAGAAAAGAAAAGAAAAGAAAAGAAAAGAACAGAAAAGAAAAGAAAAGAAAAGAAAAGAAAAGAAAAG
ensembl:lncRNA